rnacentral:rRNA from 1 species
GUGGCAGCCGCCGCGGUAAUACGAAGGGACCUAGCGUAGUUCGGAAUUACUGGGCUUAAAGAGUUCGUAGGUGGUUAAAAAAGUUGGUGGUGAAAUCCCAGAGCUUAACUCUGGAACUGCCAUCAAAACUUUUUAGCUAGAGUAUGAUAGAGGAAAGCAGAAUUUCUAGUGUAGAGGUGAAAUUCGUAGAUAUUAGAAAGAAUACCAAUUGCGAAGGCAGCUUUCUGGAUCAUUACUGACACUGAGGAACGAAAGCAUGGGUAGCGAAGAGGAUUAGAUACCCUCGUAGUCCAUGCCGUAAACGAUGUGUGUUAGAUGUUGGAAAUUUAUUUUCAGUAUCGCAGCGAAAGCAAUAAACACACCGCCUGGGGAGUACGACCGCAAGGUUAAAACUCAAAUGAAUUGACGGGGACCCGCACAAGUAGUGGAGCAUGUGGUUUAAUUCGAAGAUACGCGCAGAACCUUACCAACACUUGACAUGUUCGUUUCGACUCUAAGAGAUUAGAGUUUUCGGUUCGGCCGGACGAAACACAGGUGCUGCAUGGCUGUCGUCAGCUCGUGUCGUGAGAUGUUGGGUUAAGUCCCGCAACGAGCGCAACCCUUACUUUUAGUUGCCACCAUUUAGUUGGGCACUCUGAAAGAACUGCCAGUGAUAAGCUGGAGGAAGGUGGGGAUGACGUCAAGUCCUCAUGGCCCUUAUGCGUUGGGCUACACACGUGCUACAAUGGCAUUUACAAUAGGAAGCAAGAUGGCGACAUUAAGCAAAUCCUAAAAAAAUGCCUCAGUUCGGAUUGUACUCUGCAACUCGAGUACAUGAAGCUGGAAUUACUAGUAAUCGCGGAUCAGCGCGCCGCGGUGAAUACGUUCCCGGGUCUUGCACACACCGCCCGUC